GAGUUUGAUCAUGGCUCAGAGCGAACGCUGGCGGCAUGCUUAACACAUGCAAGUCGCACGGUCAGCAAUGGCAGUGGCGGACGGGUGAGUAACACGUAGGAAUCUAUCUCUGGGUGGGGGACAACAGUGGGAAACUACUGCUAAUACCGCAUGAUACCUGAGGGUCAAAGGCGUAAGUCGCCUGGAGAGGAGCCUGCGUCUGAUUAGCUUGUUGGUGGGGCAAAGGCCUACCAAGGCUACGAUCAGUAGCUGGUCUGAGAGGAUGAUCAGCCACAUUGGGACUGAGACACGGCCCAAACUCCUACGGGAGGCAGCAGUGGGGAAUAUUGGACAAUGGGCGAAGGCCUGAUCCAGCAAUGCCGCGUGUGUGAAGAAGGUCUUCGGAUUGUAAAGCACUUUUGGCAGGGACGAUGAUGACGGUACCUGCAGAAUAAGCCCGGCUAACUUCGUGCCAGCAGCCGCGGUAAU
rnacentral:rRNA from 1 species